CCAGAAAUCCUGGCGUAAUAUCGUCAAACUCUCACUGAACUUUUCAGGCGUCACGAGGUGGAGGGCUCCGUAUUCUUAGUUGUUGGGGAGCAGCAUUAGCCCUCCUGCAUGACUCUCUGGGCCACCCAGUCCCUCUCGUUUGCCUUGUCCGGUGUCUGUGGAUGGCUAUCCAAGCUCAACUGACCCUCCCAUUCUUACUCAGAGGCAAAUCGUAGAGGCAGCGUGUACCAAUGAGAGUGGCUCCACCAAGCUCCUUCCCUGGGAGCUACACUCAGCUUCUCAGCAGCAUACCGCCAUAGCUUUGAACUGUGUCUGUGAGCGUCCGUGCUUUAUAUCGAUUUAUUCUGUGCAUCCCUAAGGAAGAUGAGUCCCAAGCUGGUCCUCUCUGGAUGCUCUGUAGUCCCUCAAACCCCAAGGAACAAAGCAGCAUGACGUGACUUUUCAGCGGCCUGAAGCUUUGGAGCUUGGGUGGUAGAAACAACAGAGUUUGGUUCUAGGAGUGCAGGGUCCUGCGUCUGUGUUCUUGGGUUGCUAUGAACCGGCUGUGUGAUCACAGCCAACUCAGUCUUCUCUCUGAACCAUGCAGGAAACUGUCACCCAGACUCCUUAGUGGCUGCCUCUGGGCCUGCUGAGUGGGAGUGGAACCUACCUGUGCCCCCUCUGAAGAGGGCCUCCACUUCUGUCUUUUUAAAAAUUUUA
rnacentral:lncRNA from 1 species